UUUUUUGGAUAUAGUAAAGACCAUUUAGUUUGAUGCCUAGAAAAUCAAAAUCACCAGGAUAACAUUUAAGUAAAGGAAAUGCCGAUUUAAUAUUCAUUUUUGCCAUUAAAGCCGAAUUCCCCAUUUGUUUAACAAUUUUGACUGCAUUGUCAAAUGAUGAAUAAGUGACCUUGGUAAACUGAGUAUCAAUAAAAUCAUUGAUACUUUCCUUCGGAAGUAAGACAAAUAAGUUAUCAAUCUAAGUCCACCAGUUUUCUUAGGAACUAAACCAAUAGGAGAGCACCGAAGAUUUGAAAUAGGUUUAUGUUUGAAUGGGCCUUCCAUUCGACCUAAUGAUAUCUCAUUAUUCAACUUCUUUUGAGCUUCAAUAGGGUUUUUCAAAACAGAC
rnacentral:lncRNA from 1 species